rnacentral:pre_miRNA from 1 species
ACACUGCGCCCUUCACACAUACAAUACGUCCAAAUAAAUAUAUAUAUAUAUAUAUAUAUAUAUAUAUAUGUACAUAUAUAUAUAUAUAUAUGUAUGUGUUUGGACUUAUUGUAUGUGUGAAGGGCGCAGUGU